rnacentral:rRNA from 1 species
GAUGAACGCUGGCGGCGUGCUUAACACAUGCAAGUCGAACGGAAAGGCCCAAGCUUGCUUGGGUACUCGAGUGGCGAACGGGUGAGUAACACGUGGGUGAUCUGCCCUGCACUUCGGGAUAAGCCUGGGAAACUGGGUCUAAUACCGGAUAGGACCCUUCUUGGAUGUUGUGGUGGAAAGUUUUUUCGGUGUGGGAUGAGCUCGCGGCCUAUCAGCUUGUUGGUGGGGUAAUGGCCUACCAAGGCGUCGACGGGUAGCCGGCCUGAGAGGGUGUACGGCCACAUUGGGACUGAGAUACGGCCCAGACUCCUACGGGAGGCAGCAGUGGGGAAUAUUGCACAAUGGGCGCAAGCCUGAUGCAGCGACGCCGCGUGGGGGAUGACGGCCUUCGGGUUGUAAACUCCUUUCGCUAGGGACGAAGCGUUUUGUGACGGUACCUGGAGAAGAAGCACCGGCUAACUACGUG